rnacentral:rRNA from 1 species
CCUACGGGAGGCAGCAGUGAGGAAUAUUGGUCAAUGGGCGCGAGCCUGAACCAGCCAAGUAGCGUGAAGGAUGACUGCCCUAUGGGUUGUAAACUUCUUUUAUAAAGGGAUAAAGUGCGGCACGUGUGCCUUUUUGUAUGUACUUUAUGAAUAAGGAUCGGCUAAUUCCGUGCCAGCAGCCGCGGUAAUACGGAGGAUCCGGGCGUUAUCCGGAUUUAUUGGGUUUAAAGGGAGCGUAGAUGGGUUGUUAAGUCAGUUGUGAAAGGUUGCGGCUCAACCGUAAAAUUGCAGUGCAUACUGGCUUUCUUGAGUACACUUGAGGUAGGCGGAAUUCGUGGUGUAGCGGUGAAAUGCUUAGAUAUCACGAAGAACUCCGAUUGCGAAGGCAGCUUACUAAACUGCCACUGACGUUGAUGCUCGAAAGUGUGGGUAUCAAACAGGAUUAGAUACCCUGGUAGUC